UACGUAGGGUGCGAGCGUUAAUCGGAAUUACUGGGCGUAAAGCGUGCGCAGGCGGUUCGUUGUGUCUGAUGUGAAAGCCCGGGCUCAACCUGGGAACGGCAUUGGAAACUGGCGAGCUAGAGUGUGGCAGAGGGUGGAAUUCCGCGUGUAGCAGUGAAAUGCGUAGAGAUGCGGAGGAACACCGAUGGCGAAGCAGCCCCCCCCCCUGGCUGACACUGACGCUCAGGCACGAAAGCGUGGAGCAAACAGG
rnacentral:rRNA from 1 species